CCUACGGGAGGCAGCAGUGGGGAAUAUUGCACAAUGGGGGAAACCCUGAUGCAGCGAAGCCGCGUGAGGGAAGAAGUAAUUCGUUAUGUAAAGCUCUAUCAGCAGGGAAGAAAAUGACGGUACCUGAGUACGUAGCCACGGCUAACUACGUGCCAGCAGCCGCGGUAAUACGUAGGGGGCAAGCGUUAUCCGGAUUUACUGGGUGUAAAGGGAGCGUAGACGGCAGUGCAAGUCUGGAGUGAAAGACGGGGGCUCAACCCCCGGACUGCGGUUGAAACUGUACGGCUUGAGUGGAGGAGAGGUAAGCGGAAUUCCUAGUGUAGCGGUGAAAUGCGUAGAUAUUAGGAGGAACACCAGUGGCGAAGGCGGCUUACUGGAGUGUAACUGACGUUGAGGCUCGAAAGCGUGGGGAGCAAACAGGAUUAGAUACCCUUGUAGUC
rnacentral:rRNA from 1 species